rnacentral:rRNA from 1 species
AGCGAACGCUGGCGGCAGGCCUAACACAUGCAAGUCGAACGAAGCCUUCGGGCUUAGUGGCGGACGGGUGAGUAACACGUGGGAACGUACCUUUUGGUUCGGAACAACUCAGGGAAACUAGAGCUAAUACCGGAUGAGCCCUUAGGGGGAAAGAUUUAUCGCCGAAAGAGCGGCCCGCGUUAGAUUAGCUAGUUGGUGAGGUAAAGGCUCACCAAGGCAACGAUCUAUAGCUGGUCUGAGAGGAUGAUCAGCCACACUGGGACUGAGACACGGCCCAGACUCCUACGGGAGGCAGCAGUGGGGAAUCUUGCGCAAUGGGCGAAAGCCUGACGCAGCCAUGCCGCGUGAAUGAUGAAGGUCUUAGGAUUGUAAAAUUCUUUUACCAGGGACGAUAAUGACGGUACCUGGAGAAAAAGCCCCGGCCAACUUCGUGCCAGCCGCCGCAGUAAGAC